AUUGAACGCUGGCGGCAGGCCUAACACAUGCAAGUCGAACGGAAGAAUGGUGCUUGCUUCUGUAUUCAGCUGCCGACGGGUGAUUAAUGGGUGGGAACUUGCGUUGUAGUUGGGUAUAACGUCCUGAAUCGGGCGCUAAUACCGCAUACGACCUGAGUUAGUAAGAUGGGAAUCUUCAGACCUCACGCUAUUACAUGAACCUAGGACGAAUUAGCUAGUUGGAUGGGUAAAGGCCUACCAAGGGCACGAUCCGUAACUGGUCUGAGAGGAUGAUCAGUCACACUGGAACUGAGACACGGUCCAGACUCCUACGGGAGGCAGCAGUGGGGAAUAUUGGACAAUGGGCGAAAGCCUGAUCCAGCAAUGCCGCGUGUGUGAAGAAGGUCUUCGGAUUGUAAAACUCUUUGAGUUGGGAGGAAGGGCAGUAGGUAAAUACCUUGCUGUUUUGACGUUACCCAAAGAAAAAGCCCCGGCUAACUACGUG
rnacentral:rRNA from 1 species